CCGCUGGCGUCAUACUCAAAGUAUUGUUGAUCACUUCUGGUUAUACUACACCCGACAUUACCUGCCAGACUUACAGACUCGACAGAAGUGGCAACGAGAAACACAGGAUCUAACUGAGAACACAGUGGUGAUGAUUAUGGAUCCACAACUUCCUAGAGCCAGCUGGCCAGUUGGUCGGGUUGUUAAACUGAUACCCAGUGCUGAUGGACAUAUCAGGUCAGCUCAAAUACAGAUCGUCUAUACUUAAGGCCUGUUGCCAAACUUGUAAGACUUCCACCAAUUCCUGAUGGAGAUGAAACUAAUCCCGGAGACUAGGGAAUUUACUUUAUUACAUAUUAGCUAUGCUAAUCUGGGGGCGACUGUUCUAAAUUCCCUAUGAGUAGGUUAUGAAACUUUAAUUUGAGACUUUUAUUAUAUGCCGCUAGAUGGCGUAGUUCCGCUUUGCGGUUCAUUUUAGUUUCACUUUCACAGACGCUCGCUCCGCCAUUUUCUUUGGGUGCUAAUGUGCGUGGAUGCAUGAAAACCACAUUAAUACCUUGUGGCCAUGAUUGUAUGCUGCUAUGAAUAUUAAUACUCAAAGUGCUACAUAAAGAGUUAACUGUUGCCUGUCUCCUGUCACACUUCUUACCGGAGCCCCGUAAUGGAUGGGCAUUAACCUACCUAAACACCACAAAAGUCAAUUACAUCCCUUGAAA